GUUUUUUAUUUGAUGAUGGAAAAUAGAUAAUGAAAAACGGAAAAUGGAUCCGUCAUCCGUUAUUCGAUUUUAACGUAAUGAUUUUUUUUUUUUGGGGAACCACGAGCGGAGCAACUACUUCCGGUAGUAUACAUUUAACCGUGCUUUAAACAUGGAGAGUGACACGUUCGUGCUCUUUCGGGGCGGUAAACGUAUUACCCUACAGGAUGGCGAUUUGUCUGUGGAAAACAUCUGCAGAGUAUUUCAGGUCCGUCGCAGUAGUCUGUACCUUACAGACGAUGCAAACAGAGCCAUUAUGCCUGAGCCAGCAGGACAUUUUUCCACCUUGUAUAUGUCCAACCGCGGCCAUUACGAGGUCCACGGAGAGCCAGAGCAAAGUCAGUCACCUGCAGGCAGAGCACCAGCACCUUCACCCACUCCUCCGCCCACUUUCCUCUUCAGCUUCAUGCACCAAGCCUCAUCUUCUUCUACUGGGAGUGCAGCUUCACAUGGAGCUCCACGAGCUCGUGGAAGGUUUCCUCAAAAAUCAUUUCACAGAAGGUCCCAAGCAGAAGAGGUCAUUUCUAAUAUGGACCACCUGAAAAAAGCUGCAGAGAGCCUCCCAGACAUCACUUCAUCUGUAAACCAGCUGUUUGAGCUUGCAAAGGCCAAAAGCGCAGUGGCAAAAUCUCUAACUAUGACUCCUAUAAAGGACGCC
rnacentral:lncRNA from 1 species